rnacentral:rRNA from 1 species
AACGAACGCUGGCGGCAUGCCUAACACAUGCAAGUCGAACGUGAUCCGGGGCUUGCCCCGGUGAAAGUGGCGGACGGGUGAGUAACGCGUGGGAACCAGCCCUUUGGUCGGGAAUAACUGCGGGAAACUGCGGCUAAUGCCCGAUGCGCCCCUGGGCUCUGCCCGGGGGGAGAGAUUUAUCGCCGAAGGAUGGGCCCGCGUCGGAUUAGGUAGUUGGUGGGGUAACGGCCUACCAAGCCUUCGAUCCGUAGCUGGUCUGAGAGGAUGAUCAGCCACACUGGGACUGAGAUACGGCCCAGACUCCUACGGGAGGCAGCAGUGGGGAAUAUUGGACAAUGGGCGCAAGCCUGAUCCAGCAAUGCCGCGUGAGUGAAGAAGGCCUUAGGGUUGUAAAGCUCUUUCGGCGGGGACGAUGAUGACGGUACCCGCAGAAGAAGCCCCGGCUAACUCCGUGCCAGCCGCCGCCGUAAUAC